rnacentral:lncRNA from 1 species
ACUAUUAGUGUGAGGAGAAGAGGUGCGAGGAAAUCAUCUAGUUCAUGUAACUGUAAAAUUCCAAAUAACUGUGAUGACAGAUCUUUGGGCUUGACAAUUUUGUUGGUUGUGACCUCAUGCGGAUACAGGAUGAGAAAAUCCUGACUACCGCCUCUUUCAGAUCCCUGGGCCCACUGAUAACUGCUCCCAUCCACACAUGUUCAGGGGCCUCUUCUUCCACGUUUCUCCGAGGCAUCCUCCAUCGACACCACAGCCCAGGAGGAAAAUGAGAAGGUUCAGGACUAUCUCAGACCAUUCACUCAACGGAUUCUACCUCCUUCUCAAGAUGUUUCUCAGUCACCUGCCUGGUGGGGUACAACCAGGCAUUUCCUGAGCAUCAGCUGUGUGCAACGCCUGGAGUAAGAGCUGAGAAUACAACGUUUGUAGACGGAGGAGACUCCAUGUGAAAAGCACCAAGAGAGGAUUCAGAGGAGAGUGGAUGUCUGCGCAGAGUCUUGAAGAAGGAGUUGAGGGCACGGGCUCAUUCCAGGCAGCAAAGCUUCACAGCAUGAGCAGCAAUUGUGAUUUAGUGAUAUGGUUCACAAAUUCUCUACAACAAAUAACCCCAUGCGGGAAAAACCCUCAUCUCCCAGCACCAACCAACCUUUGCAACUGAAGGCCAGUGCAGAGCUGAGCUGUAACAGCACUAUGUCAUCAUUCUUCCCCUGACUAGAGGCCUCAGUUCCUUACCACACGGACCUCUCUCCCCACAUCGCUGCUUGAGCAUCCUCAUGAAAUGGCAGCUGGCUGCUUCUAUAACAAGUAGCUUCAUGGGCUCAGAAGAAAUGUGACUAUGAAGGUGACUGAUCCAGCAGGCACUCCCCAACAUAUCCUGAAUACUAAGUAACCACAGCAGCUGAGACGCUGAACAAGUCAUUCUGCAAAAUGAGCUGCCUCGUAUCAAAGGGGGAAAGACAAGAGAGGAUCCAAAACUGCCUCAAAGCUUUUUCCGGGGGCUGCUGUUUUUAGGGAGUGUUGAAGUGUGCUGAUGAUUUCCCAAGAUGAGUCAGAGCUCCCUACAUCAUCAUCUCACUCCCCUGAGAACUUGGUGACCGUCUUAGUUGACUGCCUACCUCUUCCUCCACUUCUUCCCUCUCCUUCCACAAAUCUGGAUCAGACCCGAGGAUGUGGAGUACUGUUUGAUUUUUAAGAAUGAUAUCCUGGUACCUCUGCUAUUUGUUUUUUUUUUUUCUUUGAGACAUUCUCGCUGUCACCCAGACUAGAGUUCAGUGGCAUAAUCUCGGCUGCAGCCUCCGCUUCCCAGGUUCAAGCGAUUCUCUCGCCUCAGCCUCCUGAGUAGCUGGGAUUAGAGGUGCCAACAGCACUCCUGACUAAUUUUUGUAUUUUUGGUAGAGAUGGGGUUUCGCCAUGUUGGUCAGGCUGGUCUCAAACUCCUGACCUCAGGUGA